rnacentral:rRNA from 1 species
UACGUAGGGGGCAAGCGUUGUCCGGAAUCAUUGGGCGUAAAGCGCGUGUAGGCGGUUCGGUAAGUCUGCUGUGAAAGUCCAGGGCUCAACCCUGGGAUGCCGGUGGAUACUGUCGGGCUAGAGUACGGAAGAGGCGAGUGGAAUUCCCGGUGUAGCGGUGAAAUGCGCAGAUAUCGGGAGGAACACCAAUUGCGAAGGCAGCUCGCUGGGACGUCACUGACGCUGAGACGCGAAAGCUAGGGGAGCAAACAGG